rnacentral:rRNA from 1 species
UAGGGAAUCUUCGGCAAUGGGGGCAACCCUGACCGAGCAACGCCGCGUGAGUGAAGAAGGUUUUCGGAUCGUAAAGCUCUGUUGUAAGUCAAGAACGAGUGUGAGAGUGGAAAGUUCACACUGUGACGGUAGCUUACCAGAAAGGGACGGCUAACUACGUGCCAGCAGCCGCGGUAGUACGUAGGUCCCGAGCGUUGUCCGGAUUUAUUGGGCGUAAAGCGAGCGCAGGCGGUUUGAUAAGUCUGAAGUUAAAGGCUGUGGCUCAACCAUAGUUCGCUUUGGAAACUGUCAAACUUGAGUGCAGAAGGGGAGAGUGGAAUUCCAUGUGUAGCGGUGAAAUGCGUAGAUAUAUGGAGGAACACCGGUGGCGAAAGCGGCUCUCUGGUCUGUAACUGACGCUGAGGCUCGAAAGCGUGGGGAGCGAACAGGAUUAGAUACCCUGGUAGUCCACGCCGUAAACGAUGAGUGCUAGGUGUUGGAUCCUUUCCGGGAUUCAGUGCCGCAGCUAACGCAUUAAGCACUCCGCCUGGGGAGUACGACCGCAAGGUUG